GGCAUGGUGGCUCAGUGGCUAGAGCGCCCGCCUUCAUGAACGGGAGGUCGUGGGUUCAGACCCCAGCCGAGUUA
rnacentral:tRNA from 1 species